GGUUCUAUGGUGUAGUGGUUAACACUAUGGACUUUGAAUCCAAUGACCUGGGUUCGAAUCCCGGUAGGACCU
rnacentral:tRNA from 1 species